UACGUAGGCAGCAAGCGUUGUUCGGAGUUACUGGGCGUAAAGGGUGCGUAGGCGGUUGUUUAAGUUUGGUGUGAAAUCUCCCGGCUCAACUGGGAGGGUGCGCCGAAUACUGAAUGACUAGAGUGCGGGAGAGGAGAGUGGAAUUCCUGGUGUAGCGGUGAAAUGCGUAGAUAUCAGGAGGAACACCGGUGGUGUAGACGGCUCUCUGGACCGUAACUGACGCCGAGGCACGAAAGCGUGGGUAGCAAACAGG
rnacentral:rRNA from 1 species